rnacentral:tRNA from 1 species
GCAAGCGUAGUUUCAAACAAAACAUUAGGCUGUGAUCCUAAAAACAGAAGUUAAACCCUUCUCGCUUGCC